UACGUAGGGGCCUAGCGUUGUCCGGAUUUAUUGGGCGUAAAGAGCUCGUAGGCGGCACGGUUAGUCAGGUGUGAAAUCUCCACGCUCAACGUGGAGGGGUCGCCUGAUACUGCCGAGCUUGAGUCCGGUAGGGGAGUGCGGAAUUCCCGGUGUAGCGGUGAAAUGCGCAGAUAUCGGGAGGAACACCCGUAGCGAAGGCGGCACUCUGGGCCGGUACUGACGCUGAGGAGCGAAAGCAUGGGGAGCGAACAGG
rnacentral:rRNA from 1 species